AUUGAACGCUGGCGGCAGGCCUAACACAUGCAAGUCGAGCGAGCGGCGGACGGGUGAGUAAUGUAUGGGGACUGCCUGACAUAGCGGGAUAACUACUGUAAACGGUGGCUAAUACCGCAUACUAUCGUAUAACUCACAUGGGAUUAGCUAGUAGGUGGGGUAAAGGCUCACCAAGGCGACUAUCUCUAGCUGGUCUGAGAGGAUGAUCGGCCACACUGGGACUGAGACACGGCCCAGACUCCUACGGAGGCAGCAGUGGGGAAUAUUGCACAAUGGGCGCAAGCCUGAUGCAGCAAUGCCGCGUGAAUGAAGAAGGCCUUCGGAUUGUAAAGUACUUUCGGCAGGGAGGCGUUACCUGAACAGGAAGCCACGGCUAACUCCGUGCCAGCCGCCGCGGUAAUAC
rnacentral:rRNA from 1 species